UUGCAGUUGUACAUUACAGUAGCGGUAGUUGUGCUUUCAUAUAUAUAUAUCUCAUUCGUUCAUUAUCGUUGCUACUGUAUUUUACUUACCCAUACUGUUGUUUAUCUCUUCCUGAUCCGGUGAGUACUCCUCGCCUUCUUCGGCUUGCGGUACCCACUGGGAGGGGAGACAUGUUUACAUGUUCUCACCUCCCCCACUAUUUUUCAGGUAUUGCAGGCGUUGAGUUUUGGGACGAGACGUGAGGUACGUUCGUAGCGGUCGAUAGAGCUUCCGACCCAGAUUAUCGGUUUAGUUUUAUCCCUACUAUUCUGUUGUUAUAGCUUAGUCAGUUUAUAUGGUUCAGUAUUUUUAUUACAUUGGAAUAUGUGGACUUUCAUGAAUGUAAUAAAAGAAUUUCUGGAUUUGGUAAAAUAAAAGGUUUUCUACCCCUCGUGGUAGCUUUUAUAAAAGAUAAAAGUUUUCGCGUAUGGAACAGUUUUUAAAAGAUUUUUCGCGGACUUUUGUUUAAACAUCGAAUGUAAAACUACGGUGUGAAUGGUGAAUGUAUGAAUGUAGAGCUAUCUGUAUAUUCAUUUAGUUGUGGUUGUAUACUGUUUGUACUUUUGUACUUGUGCGACGCCGUGCAAAUACAGGGGAGACUCUGUCCGUGUGAACAGUGGAUUCCCUGUAUUUGUGGCGGAUCUGACAUACUCUGGGGUCAGGUGUUUCAAAAAAAAAAGAUUUUAGUCGUUUCCGCUGUUUUUCCAAACUAAAA
rnacentral:lncRNA from 1 species